UGAGCAAUCUGCCCUUCUCAUCGGAAUAAGCGUUGGAAACGACGUCUAAUGCCGAAUACGACCUCCUUUCGCAUGAUCGGAGGUGGAAAGCUCCGGCGGUGAAGGAUGAGCUCGCGGCCUAUCAGCUAGUUGGUGCGGGUAACGCCCACCAAGGCGACGACGGGUAGCCGGCCUGAGAGGGUGACCGGCCUCACUGGGACUGAGACACGGCCCAGACCUCCUACGGGAGGNAGCG
rnacentral:rRNA from 1 species